rnacentral:rRNA from 1 species
AGUGAACGCUGGCGGCAGGCCUAACACAUGCAAGUCGAGCGGCAGCGGGUUCCCGCGAGGGGAUGCCGGCGAGCGGCGGACGGGUGAGGAACACAUCGGAAUCUGCCUGGUUGUGGGGGAUAACGUAGGGAACUUACGCUAAUACCGCAUGCGACCCUGAGUCGACGGACUUGGGGUGAAAGUGAGGGACCUUCGGGCCUCACGCGACCAGACGAGCCGAUGUCGGAUUAGCUAGUUGGCGGGGUAACGGACCCGCCAAGGCGACGAUCCGUAGCUGGUCUGAGAGGAU